ACGAUGACGUUGAUAGGUCGGGUGUGUAAGCGCAGCGAUGCGUUGAGCUAACCGAUACUAAUGACCCGUGAGACUUAACCUUACAACACCUAAG
rnacentral:rRNA from 1 species